rnacentral:lncRNA from 1 species
CAAAGAGGGAAGGAAGGGUUUUGCCAGUAGAGGAAACAGCACACUCAAAGGUAUGCAGAGCAGACACUGGAUGGUGUGUGUGGGUGGAGAACUGUGAUGUCACAGCUGCUUCAGUGUGGAAUGUGGACAGCAGGGGACCUCCCUCUCUCCCACUUUAGGAUCUUUGGUCAGGAAGUGGUGCUGGAUGGAACCUCAGACUGACGUUACUGUAGAACUUGACAGGACUUCAAAGGACAAUGUUUCCGACCUCUUCUCCACCUAGGCUGAUGGUUUUCUCCUUCAGAUUGUGCACAUUUAGGGUGAAUCCUCCCACAGUUGGCUGCUGACACUCAUAGAUCUCAAAGUGAAGAAGAUCAAAAAUGGAAGUUUGGAAGUAAAACUCACAGCCCCUUCCCCAAGUUUGAAGUGCAAUUCCACCAGGAUUCCAGAGGGCACCUGCAUCCCCUUCCUUCUACCUACAUCCCAGGAUCACCUCACACUCAGAAGGGGCUUUCACCUGGUUUUUCUCUCCCCAAACAAAAGCUACAUUUGGCUCUUGGCUUGGCUUCCAACCAAGUUUUGGGCAGAGGGGCUGAU